GUAAAGAGGACAAGGCCGGGUGGUGUGCGGACUGUACUGAGACCACUCCAUAUUGUGGAUAUGGGAAGUGUAACAUAUUCGGCUGUGCUUGUGAUGGAGGCUGCAGAAAGGACUGCAACCCCUGGUACAGCGAUUGGCAUCGUCCGCCUUUCUGGCACGGCUAUUACCGAAAAUGCGAAUGCCUAAACAAGAGAUCUGUGGAAGAUGGGACUGGGGGAGGUAUUGUCGCUAGAGAUACAUACCUAAAUUGAUGCACAUCUACAUGGGGUAAGGU